CCUACGGGAGGCAGCAGUGGGGAAUAUUGGACAAUGGGCGCAAGCCUGAUCCAGCAAUGCCGCGUGAGUGAUGAAGGCCUUAGGGUCGUAAAGCUCUUUUACCAGGGAUGAUAAUGACAGUACCUGGAGAAUAAGCUCCGGCUAACUCCGUGCCAGCAGCCGCGGUAAUACGGAGGGAGCUAGCGUUGUUCGGAAUUACUGGGCGUAAAGCGUACGUAGGCGGUUAUUCAAGUCAGAGGUGAAAGCCCGGGGCUCAACCCCGGAACGGCCUUUGAAACUAGGUAGCUAGAAUCUUGGAGAGGUCAGUGGAAUUCCGAGUGUAGAGGUGAAAUUCGUAGAUAUUCGGAAGAACACCAGUGGCGAAGGCGACUGACUGGACAAGUAUUGACGCUGAGGUACGAAAGCGUGGGGAGCAAACAGGAUUAGAUACCCUGGUAGUCCACGCCGUAAACGAUGAUAACUAGCUGUUCGGGCACUUGGUGCUUGAGUGGCGCAGCUAACGCAUUAAGUUAUCCGCCUGGGGAGUACGGUCGCAAGAUUAAAACUCAAAUGAAAUUGACGG
rnacentral:rRNA from 1 species